GCCAGCGUGGUGUAGUGGUUUGAAUGCUGGAUUAUGACUCUGGAGACCAGGAUUCAAGUCCUGUCUUAGGA